AUUGUCUUUCAUGAACCAAGACCACCUCCUCAAGUCUUGCAAUCUUCUGGAAUAUAUCCCCAUAUGUAGCUCUGCUCCAGGUUUCAUGCUUUGUCCAGAAGUUAAGAAAUCUGAAUGACUUCUUAAUUGGAGGAGUUUCUAUAUCACAUUUCAGCAGCAUUGGGCAAUGAUCAGACCCGAUUUUGGAUAGGUAUUGAUGCAGUGUCUGAAGUCAUCUACUUCAAUGAGGGAAACUGGCAAUCCCCCAUAUUUCUCUUCCUCAUCCCAUAUCACAUUAAAGUCGCCUCCAACUAGCCAAGGUA